CAGUAGGGAAUCUUCGGCAAUGGACGAAAGUCUGACCGAGCAACGCCGCGUGAGUGAAGAAGAUUUUCGGAUCGUAAAACUCUGUUGGUAGAGAAGAACGUUGGUGAGAGUGGAAAGCUCAUCAAGUGACGGUAACUACCCAGAAAGGGACGGCUAACUACGUGCCCG
rnacentral:rRNA from 1 species